GUCCCCCAUUGGGACCCCCUUUUGAUUUCUUGUUGAACUUUUGCAGUUGCCAGACCGCAAGAUGUUUUAACAAAUCAAAAGGGGUUUUAA
rnacentral:sRNA from 1 species